UUCGUCUCUGCGGCCCAGAAACCUUUGCAUCCAACCCUAAUCACUCUGCACUUCUUCUCCUUCGCUUCCUCUCUACCUCUCCGGCGGCGAUAUGUCGAUUGUGCUUCUGUAACGGUUGUGAUUACUGCGUAAUUACUCCCAGUGUUUUGAUUCGUCGUCUGUGUGUAUAAAUAGGUUUGUGCCUCAUUCGAUUUCCAUUUUCGUGAUAUCUGAACUCUCUGCGUAUUUGACUCUUGCUCUUCGACUCUCUCUAUGGCUAUCUCCAAGUUGUUCUUCUCUGACCUGAGAACCGGCAGGUGCUCCUCCGUUGUCGAGGCGAGGCUGCUGCGGUUCUGGGAGGCCAAGAAUGUGAAACGUGGUGGGGAGCUCAUGUGGGCAGAUCUGCUAUUCGUGGAUGUCAAUGAAGAGCAUGACUGCUACCAUUAAUGUGAAGAUGUUCGUGACCCAUUUAGAAACAAAUGUUGGGUUGUACAAAUCCAGAUUUGAUUGAUCAGACGCAUUGAGUGACAAACGCGGCCAAUGUCGUUGGAAAAAAAUGCGGGAGGGAAGAUAGCCACAUUACAGCUGGUGGACAUGGAGUGCGAUUACCUUACUGUUGGAUUUUUCAAGAAGCUUCUCCAGCUCUGAGAAUGUUUCUAGGUUGUGGUCGUCCAGUAGCUCCACUGCUAAAGAGUUAUGCGAAUGUGGAAACGCUUAGCAUAUCUGAGCUCAAUGAUUUUGUCAUCACCGCUCCGUCCCAGGACAUUGGUUUUAUUUGUACCGGAAAAAUUACUGGAAAAAAGUUGGACAAGGGAUGGUGCUACGUUUCAUGUUCAAACUGUUCCAGGAAACUUCAACGGUCUGUCUCAUCUUUCACAUGUGUGCUAAGCGUUUUCUCCGUGCGCUAGAUACCGUGUGGAGAUGUCAGUUGCAGACGAAACUGGAGAAGGUUUGUUUGUUGGGUUUGAUGGAGCUUCAAAAUGAGGCCUUAUGAAGCUGUCAAUCUCUUGGUACUUGAGAGAAGUCAGUGAAGCCUAAUCAUCUGAAGAUAAUUGAUGAGGCAUAACAAAAUACACUUGCAAAAAGACUAAGAGGAGAGUUAACAGAAAAAAAAUAACUAUAAGAAAAAGAGGGGAGGGAGCUAGAGAGAGUUCACAUCAUGACGUUAGUUACGAAUUCUGCGAGGUCCAAAAAAGACCCCAAAAUAGGGAGGAAAAAAAGUUAAGAGUGAGUGAGUUUCUUAGUUAUGUACAAUGAGUUGGCUCUUUCAGUACAUCAAUUUGGUGAUUUAGUGUUUACAAGCCAGCUAAAAACAUGAAAAGGUGAGAAAACAGACUACGGCGUCUAAAAUAUAUACAACCAAGUUUGGUAGUUGA